GUACUUUCCGCCCGUGGGAAACGCGAGACGUAUUACUGUGGAGCAUCCUGGAUUGUAUGCACCUUAUCCCUGCAUCGAAUUAAAUCCCGCUGCAACAAGACCAGCGAGAUCCUCUCCCGUGGCUACAAAAACUUGCAGAACAGUCCGCGAGCAGAAACGUAAUAUCGAAUCGUCGUCUUCUUCGUACGCUGGAAACAAGCGUCGCGAUGAUGUGACUUCUUUACGGCUCAUCUGAAUCAUGGAAUUCAUCGUUUCCGAAGGAGCAACUUCUUUCAGAGAAUUUUUGGUCGGAGUGGCCAAUUAAGACCUAUCGAGGCCCAUCAAGGCUAUAAUACUUGGCAGGUGUAUCAGAAAGAUUAAAAUUAAAAAUUGAAACUUGGAAGUAGCAUACUGAACGACAGACCACUCGAACACGUUCUCUCCUCGAGUUGACGUCAUGAAAAGGAACAAUAACAUCAUUGUUAUUAAUAGAAAAAGCCUUCCGUACACGAUUCGUUCAUACACCACGAAUAAAUAAAGCAAACCAAAGGAUAUUAAAUACGAUAUCGCAACGAGAAAGCCAAGGAAAGAAACGAAAAUAGAAAACGAAGUUUAAUUAUUCAAUAAAUAUCGCCAAUUAAUCAUCGCAGGAAUGAAUUCGACACAAUCUCCCCGUUGAUCGUUAAAAUAGAUAGAGACGCGUGGAAAUGGAGAAUAGAAUGAUUUCUCAACACUGUCGAGUUCGUCUUCGUGUAACGCCUAAGAACGAAUACAUCACCAUUAUUUCAACAAAUCCGCGACUCACGAAGAGUACAGCGGAUAAGAAAUUACUCGCGGAAUAUUGCACGUUCGUUGGAAUUCUAUCGGCGCCACGAAUUACAGGCCGCUGCGGACCUUGCACUCCGCGGCAUGCGCCUCGAAUGCAUACGGUAUUCUCGAUAUACCGAAAGAAAUGUACGGGAAGAGAACGAUAAAAAAAAAAAAAGAAAGAAAAAAAAAAGA